rnacentral:rRNA from 1 species
AGUUUGAUCCUGGCUCAGGACGAACGCUGGCGGCGGGCCUAACACAUGCAAGUCGAACGCACUCGACCUUCGGGUCACAUGAGUGAGUGGCGAACGGGUGAGUAACACGUGAGAAACCUGCCCCGAAGACUGGAAUAACCCGAGGAAACUCGGGCUAAUACCGGAUAUCCCCACCAGGUCGCAUGGCCAGGUGAGGAAAUGCUCCGGCGCUUCGGGAGGGUCUCGCGGCCUAUCAGCUAGUUGGUGAGGUAAUGGCUCACCAAGGCAUCGACGGGUAGCUGGUCUGAGAGGACGAUCAGCCACACUGGGACUGAGAUACGGCCCAGACUCCUACGGGAGGCAGCAGUGAGGAAUUUUGCGCAAUGGGCGAAAGCUUGACGCAGCAACGCCGCGUGAUCGAAGAAGGUUUGCGAAUUGUAAAGAUCUUUAGUAGAGGAAGAAAAGCUUAUAUUCUAACAAAAUAUAUGCCUGACGGUACUUUAUCAAAAAGCCCCGGCUAACUUCGUGCCAGCAGCCGCGGUAAUACGAGGGGGGCAAGCGUUAUCCGGAUUUAUUGGGCGUAAAGGGCUCGUAGGCUGAUUUAUAAGUCAAAAUUGAAAUCCAAUGGCUUAACCAUUGUCACGGUUUUGAUACUGUAAAUCUAGAAUUAUGCAGAGGUAAGUGGAAUUUCUGGUGUAGCGGUGAAAUGCGUAGAUAUCAGAAAGAACACCAAAGGCGAAGGCAACUUACUGGGCAUUGAUUGACGCUGAGGAGCGAAAGCGUGGGUAGCAAACAGGAUUAGAGACCCUGGUAGUGCACGCCGUAAACGAUGAGUACUUAGUGGUGGGGGAUUCGACCCCUUCACUGCUGGAGCUAACGCGUUAAGUACUCCGCCUGGGAACUACGGCCGCAAGGCUGAAACUCAAAGGAAUUGACGGGGACCCGCACAAGCGGUGGAUUAUGUGGUUUAAUUCGAUGCAACGCGAAGAACCUUACCUGGACUUGACAUAUUAGUGAACGUUUUGUGAAAGCAAUUCUUCUUUUAAGCUUGCUUAAAAGCACUAUUACAGGUGAUGCAUGGCUGUCGUCAGCUCGUGUCGUGAGAUGUUCGGUUAAGUCCGAUAACGAGCGCAACCCCUAUCAUUAGUUGCCAGCACGUAAAGGUGGGGACUCUAAUGAAACUGCCCGGGUUAACCGGAAGGAAGGUGGGGUCGACGUCAAGUCAGUAUGUCCCUUACGUUCAGGGCUACACACGUAAUACAAUGGGAAAUACAAUGGGUUGCCAAAGUGCGAACUGGAGCUAAUCCCAAAAAAUUUCCCUAAGUUCGGAUUGUAGUCUGCAACUCGACUACAUGAAGUCGGAAUCGCUAGUAAUCGCUCAUCAGCAUGGAGCGGUGAAUACGUUCCCGGGUCUUGUACACACCGCCCGUCACGCCAUGGAAGCCGGUAGCACCCAAAGCCAGUGUUCUAACUUUCGAGAGGAAACUGUCUAAGGUGAGAUUGGUAACUGGGGCGAAGUCGUAACAAGGUAACC